ACACAUUGGUAGCUGGAAAACUGUGUUUUGGGAAAUUACAAACAGAUCCUGCUGCCUAAGACAGCGGCAGUGUUUUGUCUUUCAGAGUUUUCCUUGGGAAAGCAAGUUCCUGAACCUGUAACAAAAUCCUUCCUUUGAAAUCCUGGCACAGCAGGCUUCUGGAGGCUUAAUAUGAACCCUUAAGAAGUCUUACAAAAUCAUCUCCUCCACCAAGAACAAAGAGAAGCUCUUCCUUCAAGGGGCCCUCCCACCAACAGUUAAGAGUGUUCUCCCUAAUUACCUCUGAACAAGUCUAUGAAUUGUUAAUUUCAAGACCAUCUCACUCACCAUUAACUGAGGACUCCUUCAGCAAGAUUUUCUUCCAAAAUGAAUUCAAUAAGGGCAAAUGCAAAACAGUCCUCAUAUGACAGGAAAAUCGCAAAUGCAAAUGCUGACCAGUAAAAGGAAAGGACCAUAGAAAAGAAAUAAUGGAAAAUGAAGAAAAUAAUAUGAUUGCUGUCUCUCCAAAUGCUGAUUAUCAUGGGAUGUCUAGGUGGAUCAGUUGGCUGAAUGUCCUACAAGUGUCCUACUUGAUUUUGGCUCAUAUCAUGAACCCGGGAUCAUGAGAUCAAGCCCUAUGUUGGGUUCCAC